rnacentral:rRNA from 1 species
UACGUAGGGAGCAAGCGUUGUUCGGAUUUACUGGGCGUAAAGGGCGCGUAGGCGGCGCGGUAAGUCACUUGUGAAAUCUCUGAGCUUAACUCAGAACGGCCAAGUGAUACUGCAGUGCUAGAGUGCAGAAGGGGCAACUGGAAUUCUCGGUGUAGCGGUGAAAUGCGUAGAUAUCGAGAGGAACACCUGCGGCGAAGGCGGGUUGCUGGGCUGAUACUGACGCUGAGGCGCGAAAGCCAGGGGAGCGAACGGG